rnacentral:rRNA from 1 species
AUCCUACGGGGGGCAGCAGUGAGGAAUAUUGGUCAAUGGGCGCUAGCCUGAACCAGCCAAGUCGCGUGAAGGAUGACUGCCCUAUGGGUUGUAAACUUCUUUUAUAUGGGAAUAAAGUGCAGUAUGUAUACUGCUUUGCAUGUACCUUAUGAAUAAGGAUCGGCUAACUCCGUGCCAGCAGCCGCGGUAAUACGGAGGAUCCGAGCGUUAUCCGGAUUUAUUGGGUUUAAAGGGUGCGUAGGCGGGCUUUUAAGUCAGCGGUAAAAAUUCGGGGCUCAACCCCGUCCGGCCGUUGACACUGGGGG